rnacentral:rRNA from 1 species
UACGGGGGGAGCAAGCGUUGUUCGGAUUUACUGGGCGUAAAGGGCGCGUAGGCGGCCACCGCAAGUCGACUGUGAAAUCUCCGGGCUUAACUCGGAAAGGUCAGCCGAUACUGCGGGGCUAGAGUGCAGAAGGGGCAACUGGAAUUCUCGGUGUAGCGGUGAAAUGCGUAGAUAUCGAGAGGAACACCUAUGGCGAAGGCAGCUCGCUGGGACGUUACUGACGCUGAGACGCGAAAGCGUGGGGGAGCAAACAGG